rnacentral:rRNA from 1 species
GAAAAGCAGCAUCAUUGAAGGUGAAAAUCCUGUAGAUGAUAUGGACUACCAGUGCAUUUGUGAUGCGAUUUCUAAGAGUCGAGUUGUUUGGGAAUGCAGCUCAAAGUGGGUGGUAAAUUCCAUCUAAGGCUAAAUAUAAGUGAGAGACCGAUAGCAUACAAGUACCGUGAGGGAAAGAUGAAAAGAACUUUGAAAAUAGAGUUAACAGUACGUGAAAUUGCUGAAAGGGAAACGUUUGAAGUUAGUUUUGUAUUCGUUGGAUCAGCUUCGCAAGGAGUGUAUUCUGAUGAUAAGCAAGUCAACAUCAAUCUUUGAGUGUUGGAUAAGGGUUUUGAGGAUGUAGCAAUUUAAUUGUGUUAUAACUUGAGACUUGGAUACAAUGCUUGGGAUUGAGGAACGCGUAGUAAGCUUUGAGCGGRYCAGAAAUGGUCUCCUUACUAUGGAUGUUGGUGAAAUAACUUUAAGCGACCCGUCUUGAAACACGGACCAAGGAGUCUAACAUGCAUGCGAGUAUUAGGGUGUUGAAACCCGAAUGCGUAAUGAAAGUGAAUUUCAAAUGUGAUCCGCAAGGUGCAACAUUGACCGGUCCUGAUUAUUUAUAUGACGGUACUGAGUAAGAGCAUGUAUGUUAGGACCCGAAAGAUGGUGAACUAUGCCUGGAUAGGGUGAAGUCAGAGGAAACUCUGAUGGAAGCUCGUAGCGGUUCUGACGUGCAAAUCGAUCGUUGAAUCUGGGUA